rnacentral:snoRNA from 1 species
GUGCAUAUGAUGGAAAAAUCUUAGUCUCCUGAGACUUGUGAUGUCUUCAAAGGAACCACUGAUGCAC